AGGGACACCCCAGUUACAAGUGCGCCCUGGGAGACAUCCAUCGACCAGGGCCCGUGAGAGGCUGAAGCAGAGGCUGCUGCAGAAGCUGAGGCAAAAACGCAAGGUCCUGAUGGAACGCAGAAGGAUGAUCAUCCAGAACAUCCCUGACUUCUGGUCUAAAGUUUUUGUGAACCAUUCCCAGAUUUCACCCAUCAUCUGUGAUAAGGAUGAAGACAUUCUUAGCUGCAUGACCAACCUAGAGGUGGCCAAACUCAAGCAUCCCAGGAAGCGCUUCAAGAUCAGGUUGUUCUUCCGCAGCAAUCCCUACUUCU